rnacentral:rRNA from 1 species
AACAAACGCUGGCGGCGUGCCUAACACAUGCAAGUCGUACGAGAAAGUUGGCUUCGGCCGAUGAGUACAGUGGCGCACGGGUGAGUAACGCGUGGAUAAUCUGCCCUUAAGUGUGGAAUAACGUACCGAAAGGUGCGCUAAUACCGCAUAAUGCCUGGCAACAUAAGUUGUCCGGCCAAAGAAGGCCUCUGCUUGCAAGCUUUCGCUAAAGGAUGAGUCCGCGUACCAUUAGCUAGUUGGUGGGGUAACGGCCUACCAAGGCGACGAUGGUUAGCUGGUCUGAGAGGAUGAUCAGCCACACUGGAACUGAGACACGGUCCAGACUCCUACGGGAGGCAGCAGUGAGGAAUAUUGCGCAAUGGGGCAACCCUGACGCAGCAACGCCGCGUGAGUGAGGAAGGUUUUCGGACUGUAGAGCUCUGUCGAGCGGGAAGAAGUGUACCAUGGCUAAUAUCCAUGAUAUUUGACGGUACCGCUAGAGG